AUAGACCGGUUGAGGCUCUGUUGUGAACUUGUGAUGAAAGGGGAACAGAGGAAGGAAAAAAAAGGUGAUGGAGGACGGAUGGAUUGAGGCGAGAAAAAAUAAAGGCAGAGGGGGGCAAAUAUGGGAUGUCUGGGGUUGAGAGCGAGGGAGGGGGAGAUGUCGAGAAGAGGGUGGGCAGCGGAGGCAGGGAGAGCGAUGCUGCGUUUCAGAGAUAGCACAGACUGGGGCUGCAAGAGCGGGCAGAAGGAUGGAGAGAAGCAAUAACGAAAGAGAGCAGCAGGACUCCCAUUCAGAGUGAAGUGGCCCUGAUGGAUUGCUUGUAUUACUGAACACACACUCAAGGUGGAUUACAGAGGAGACCACUUGUAAUGUGCCUUACAGGCUUCAAAACAACAUUGAGAAGAAAGAGAGAAAGACAUACCUCCAAAACUCAAUUUGUAUGGUUUGGCAGGAUACAAAUGCAUUGUUGUCACUCAUGGGAUGAAAAAACAUACUGAGCAUUGAGGGCAAGUUCUCGGGAGGAGACUCUAAAAUUGGGCAGUUAUUAGCUCCUGGAAGAAAAAGGGAGGAGAGAGCAGUAUGACUCACAGCGGCUCAAAGACUGUGUGUUUUGUAUGCAUGAGGGGGGCUCGAGAGAGAUAGAGGAGAAAUGAGAGCGACACGGGGAAAGAAAUAGAGCAGACCUUAACAGUCGUUGGAGAGGGAUGAUGAAAGAAUACGCAAGAAAGAGCCAGUGACUUUGAGACAGUGGGUCGUGUGAAUCACCGAGCUGGAGUGUGAAGAAGGUGAAAGGUGGACAAGACUUGAGGAAGUGGCGGGGAUAGCAUGAGGGAAGUUUCACUGGAGAUUUGAUGCCUGAUGGACACUGGGAACAGGACUGGAUGGGUUAAAAGGUACUUAAGACUGUUUUGCAGGAGGCAAAGACUGGAUGAUCGUACGUUGAAGUUUUUCAUUUGACUAAAACUGUGACAUAAGGGGGAAGAAAUCAAGCCACUGAGCAAAAAAAAAAAAAAACUGGCUAAAAUAGAAAUGCUGCAGAUGAGAAAACAUGUCAGUCUGUGCACCACGCCGGGGACAGCAUGGAAACUUUACCUGUGACAACACAGCAAGAGUUUGCUGUUAAAUAUUCAUGCUGACAGGCCACUCUGGACACAACUUGCUUCCUCGUCUACAGAGAGAAGAACACUGCUUUCAUCAUGAGGGAUUUUUACACUAGACAAGUUGGUGAGUGUGUCAGGUUAUGCUGACAUCUUGCAGCAAAUUGAGACAGGAGCACGUCACGCUAGCCGGGACGUGGCCUCGUGGAGGUGCUCAGCCAAGCGUGAGGAGAGGGGAAUGACGACGGGCAGAAGACAUGAAGCUGUGACUGUCAAGGGGGAAGAAAUAAACAUUUGUGAGACAGUUGAAAUGACAUAGGGUUUAUUUAUUCUAUGUGAGCUAAUCCUUGGCUUCUAAAGACAAUUGCAUAUUUUAUAAUCAGCUUUGAAAUUCACUUAGUGUUACUAACUGCAGUCAGAUCCAUCAUUUUGUAUUUCCUCUUGAACUGAAUAUAACCUUUCCGAGUUGCUCU